AGGCGAGUAGCUCAAUUAGGGAGAGCAACGGUCUCCAAAACCGUAGGUUACGGGUUCAAUUCCUGUCUCGCCUG
rnacentral:tRNA from 1 species